rnacentral:rRNA from 1 species
UACGUAGGGCGCGAGCGUUGUCCGGAAUUAUUGGGCGUAAAGAGCUCGUAGGUGGCUUGUCGCGUCUGCCGUGAAAGCCCGUGGCUUAACUACGGGUCUGCGGUGGAUACGGGCAGGCUAGAGGCUGGUAGGGGCAAGCGGAAUUCCUGGUGUAGCGGUGAAAUGCGCAGAUAUCAGGAGGAACACCGGUGGCGAAGGCGGGUCUCUGGGCCGAUACUGACGCUGAGGAGCGAAAGCGUGGGGAGCGAACAGG